rnacentral:rRNA from 1 species
AAAUUGAAGAGUUUGAUCAUGGCUCAGAUUGAACGCUGGCGGCAGGCCUAACACAUGCAAGUCGAGCGGUAGCACAGAGAGCUUGCUCUCGGGUGACGAGCGGCGGACGGGUGAGUAAUGUCUGGGAAACUGCCUGAUGGAGGGGGAUAACUACUGGAAACGGUAGCUAAUACCGCAUAACGUCGCAAGACCAAAGUGGGGGACCUUCGGGCCUCAUGCCAUCAGAUGUGCCCAGAUGGGAUUAGCUAGUAGGUGGGGUAAUGGCUCACCUAGGCGACGAUCCCUAGCUGGUCUGAGAGGAUGACCAGCCACACUGGAACUGAGACACGGUCCAGACUCCUACGGGAGGCAGCAGUGGGGAAUAUUGCACAAUGGGCGCAAGCCUGAUGCAGCCAUGCCGCGUGUGUGAAGAAGGCCUUCGGGUUGUAAAGCACUUUCAGCGGGGAGGAAGGCGAUAAGGUUAAUAACCUUGUCGAUUGACGUUACCCGCAGAAGAAGCACCGGCUAACUCCGUGCCAGCAGCCGCGGUAAUACGGAGGGUGCAAGCGUUAAUCGGAAUUACUGGGCGUAAAGCGCACGCAGGCGGUCUGUCAAGUCGGAUGUGAAAUCCCCGGGCUCAACCUGGGAACUGCAUUCGAAACUGGCAGGCUAGAGUCUUGUAGAGGGGGGUAGAAUUCCAGGUGUAGCGGUGAAAUGCGUAGAGAUCUGGAGGAAUACCGGUGGCGAAGGCGGCCCCCUGGACAAAGACUGACGCUCAGGUGCGAAAGCGUGGGGAGCAAACAGGAUUAGAUACCCGGUAGUCCACGCCGUAAACGAUGUCGAUUUGGAGGUUGUGCCCUUGAGGCGUGGCUUCCGGAGCUAACGCGUUAAAUCGACCGCCUGGGGAGUACGGCCGCAAGGUUAAAACUCAAAUGAAUUGACGGGGGCCCGCACAAGCGGUGGAGCAUGUGGUUUAAUUCGAUGCAACGCGAAGAACCUUACCUGGUCUUGACAUCCACAGAACUUUCCAGAGAUGGAUUGGUGCCUUCGGGAACUGUGAGACAGGUGCUGCAUGGCUGUCGUCAGCUCGUGUUGUGAAAUGUUGGGUUAAGUCCCGCAACGAGCGCAACCCUUAUCCUUUGUUGCCAGCGGUUAGGCCGGGAACUCAAAGGAGACUGCCAGUGAUAAACUGGAGGAAGGUGGGGAUGACGUCAAGUCAUCAUGGCCCUUACGACCAGGGCUACACACGUGCUACAAUGGCAUAUACAAAGAGAAGCGACCUCGCGAGAGCAAGCGGACCUCAUAAAGUAUGUCGUAGUCCGGAUUGGAGUCUGCAACUCGACUCCAUGAAGUCGGAAUCGCUAGUAAUCGUAGAUCAGAAUGCUACGGUGAAUACGUUCCCGGGCCUUGUACACACCGCCCGUCACACCAUGGGAGUGGGUUGCAAAAGAAGUAGGUAGCUUAACCUUCGGGAGGGCGCUUACCACUUUGUGAUUCAUGACUGGGGUGAAGUCGUAACAAGGUAACCGUAGGGGAACCUGCGGUUGGAUCACCUCCUUACCUUAAAGAA